rnacentral:rRNA from 1 species
GGCGAACGGGUGAGUAGCACGUGAGUAACCUGCCCUUGACUUUGGGAUAACUUCAGGAAACUGGGGCUAAUACCGGAUAGGAGCUCCUGCUGCAUGGUGGGGGUUGGAAAGUUUCGGCGGUUGGGGAUGGACUCGCGGCUUAUCAGCUUGUUGGUGGGGUAGUGGCUUACCAAGGCUUUGACGGGUAGCCGGCCUGAGAGGGUGACCGGCCACAUUGGGACUGAGAUACGGCCCAG